GACGAACGCUGGCGGCAUGCCUAAUACAUGCAAGUCGAGCGAACGGAUGAAGUGCUUGCACUUCUGACGUUAGCGGCGAACGGGUGAGUAACACGUAAGGAAUCUACCUAUAAGCGGGGGAUAACAUUCGGAAACGGGUGCUAAUACCGCAUAAUAUCUUCUUCCGCAUGGAAGAAGAUGGAAAGACGGCUCUGCUGUCACUUAUAGAUGAACUUGCGGUGCAUUAGUUAGUUGGUGGGGUAAUGGCCUACCAAGACGAUGAUGCAUAGCCGACCUGAGAGGGUGAUCGGCCACAUUGGGACUGAGACACGGCCCAAACUCCUACGGGAGGCAGCAGUAGGGAAUCUUCCGCAAUGGGCGAAAGCCUGACGGAGCAAUGCCGCGUGAGUGAAGAAGGCCUUCGGGUCGUAAAACUCUGUUAUAAGAGAAGAACAAAUUGUAGAGUAACUGCUACAGUCUUGACGGUAUCUUAUCAGAAAGCCACGGCUAACUACGUGCCAGCCGCCGCCGUAA
rnacentral:rRNA from 1 species